rnacentral:rRNA from 1 species
GAUGAACGCUGGCGGCGUGCCUAAUACAUGCAAGUCGAGUGAACGGACGAGAAGCUUGCUUCUCUGAUGUUAGCGGCGGACGGGUGAGUAACACGUGGAUAACCUACCUAUAAGACUGGGAUAACUUCGGGAAACCGUAGCUAAUACCGGAUAAUAUUUUGAACCGCAUGGUUCAAAAGUGAAAGACGGUCUUGCUGUCACUUAUAGAUGGAUCCGCGCUGCAUUAGCUAGUUGGUAAGGUAACGGCUUACCAAGGCAACGAUGCAUAGCCGACCUGAGAGGGUGAUCGGCCACACUGGAACUGAGACACGGUCCAGACUCCUACGGGAGGCAGCAGUAGGGAAUCUUCCGCAAAGGGCGAAAGCCUGACGGAGCAACGCCGCGUGAGUGAUGAAGGUCUUCGGAUCGUAAAACUCUGUUAUUAGGGAAGAACAUAUGUGUAAGUAACUGUGCACAUAUUGACGGUACCUAAUCAGAAAGCCACGGCUAACUACGUG